UACGUGAAACCGUUCAGGGGUAAACCUGAGAAACCCGAAAGUUCGAAUGGGGAGAUUCAUCGUCAGUGGUGCUGGCUUCGCGGUGGUGGGCGAUGUGGAUGACUUCGGUUAUCUAACACGUCGCCGCUGUGCUGUCCGGUGUCGGCGGCGUGCACUUCUCCCCUAGUAGGACGUCGCGACCCGUUGGGUGUCGGACUACGGCCCGGGUGGUAGCCCGUCUCGUCGCUUCGGCGCACGAGACAGACCCCCGGUGUGUCUCAUUUCCUGUCCGACUGCCCGGCGGUAUUUUGCGAUAGUAUUCGGCCGCAAUAAAUUCGAACGCACUGCGUCAUUGACUCGUUGCAAGCGCGGUCAGUGUCCCGUGGGAUAUGGACGUAGCGCCGUCCCCGGGCCUGGCCUGCUGUUGGCUUACGUUGUUCUCUGACAGGCCGCUUACUUGUUUGCGACGCUAUUGCUUUGGGUACUCUCAGGACCCGUCUUGAAACACGGACCAAGGAGUCUAACAUGUGCGCAAGUCAUUGGGACAAUAAAACCUAAAGGCGAAAUGAAAGUAAAGGUCGACCUUGCGUCGACAGAGGGAGGAUGGGAUGCGCAAAGCAGCCUCGCACUCCCGGGGCGUCUCACUCUCAUUUUGAGAAGAGGCGCACCUAGAGCGUACACGUUGGGACCCGAAAGAUGGUGAACUAUGCCUGGUCAGGACGAAGUCAGGGGAAACCCUGAUGGAGGUCCGUAGCGAUUCUGACGUGCAAAUCGAUCGUCGGAA
rnacentral:rRNA from 1 species